CCUACGGGAGGCAGCAGUGAGGAAUAUUGGUCAAUGGGCGCGAGCCUGAACCAGCCAAGUAGCGUGAAGGAUGAAGGCCCUACGGGUUGUAAACUUCUUUUAUAAAGGAAUAAAGUGAGGCACGUGUGCCUUUUUGAAUGUACGUUAUGAAUAAGGAUCGGCUAACUCCGUGCCAGCAGCCGCGGUAAUACGGAGGAGCCGAGCGUUAUCCGGAUUGAUUGGGUUUAAAGGGCGCGGAGAUGGGUUGUUAAGUCAGUUGUGAAAGUUUGCGGCUCAACCGUAAAAUUGCAAUUGAUACUGGCAGUCUUGAGUUCAGUUGCGGUAUGCGGAAUUCGUGGUGUAGCGGU
rnacentral:rRNA from 1 species